rnacentral:misc_RNA from 1 species
ACAAAAUAAAAUUUAUUUCCUCCAUAUUUAUAAAACAUUUUAAAAACUUUUAAUCUCAUAAUCACCAUCUCUCACUUUAAUUUCUUAUCCCUAUAAACUCCUAAUCACUUUCGCGAUCUACCUUACGUAAUAAUUCUAUUUUCUCAAUACCAAUUUUAUAAAAACACAACCCUAAUUCCUAUAAAUCCCCAAACAAAUAAA